CAACCCUCAAGCAUUGCUUGGUAUUGGACUUCGCUGCUCACGUAGCGGGCCUUAAAAUCAGUGGCGGUGCCGUCGGGCUCCUGAGCGCAGUAAAUAUCCUCGCUACAGGGACUCGGUGGACGCUGGCCAUCAACCCCCCACUCUCUCAGU
rnacentral:misc_RNA from 1 species